rnacentral:rRNA from 1 species
GACAGAGGAUGCAAGCGUUAUCCGGAAUGAUUGGGCGUAAAGCGUCUGUAGGUGGCUUUUUAAGUCCGCCGUCAAAUCCCAGGGCUCAACCCUGGACAGGCGGUGGAAACUACCAAGCUGGAGUACGGUAGGGGAGAUUGGAAUUCCUGGUGUAGCGGUGGAAUGCGCAGAUAUCGGGAGGAACACCGGUGGCGAAGGCGGUUCUCUGGGCCUUACCUGACGCUGAGGAGCG